CAGUAGCCGCGGUAAUACAGAGGGUGCGAGCGUUAAUCGGAUUUACUGGGCGUAAAGCGUGCGUAGGCGGCUUUUUAAGUCGGAUGUGAAAUCCCUGAGCUUAACUUAGGAAUUGCAUUCGAUACUGGGAGGCUAGAGUAUGGGAGAGGAUGGUAGAAUUCCAGGUGUAGCGGUGAAAUGCGUAGAGAUCUGGAGGAAUACCGAUGGCGAAGGCAGCCAUCUGGCCUAAUACUGACGCUGAGGUACGAAAGCAUGGGGAGCAAACAGGAUUAGAUACCCCCGUAGUCCCUGUCUCUUAUAC
rnacentral:rRNA from 1 species